CGGACGGGUGAGUAACGCGUGGAUAACCUGCCGUAUACCGGGGGAUAACACUUAGAAAUAGGUGCUAAUACCGCAUAAGCGCACGGCUCCGCAUGGGGCAGUGUGAAAAACUCCGGUGGUAUACGAUGGAUCCGCGUCUGAUUAGCUAGUUGGCGGGGUAACGGGCCCACCAAGGCAGCGAUCAGUAGCCGGCCUGAGAGGGUGGACGGCCACAUUGGGACUGAGACACGGCCCAAACUCCUACGGAAGGCAGCAG
rnacentral:rRNA from 1 species